rnacentral:rRNA from 1 species
UACGUAGGGAGCAAGCGUUGUUCGGAUUUACUGGGCGUAAAGGGCGCGUAGGCGGCGCGGUAAGUCACUUGUGAAAUCUCUGAGCUUAACUCAGAACGGCCAAGUGAUACUGCAGUGCUAGAGUGCAGAAGGGGCAAUCGGAAUUCUUGGUGUAGCGGUGAAAUGCGUAGAUAUCAAGAGGAACACCUGAGGUGAAGGCGGGUUGCUGGGCUGAUACUGACGCUGAGGCGCGAAAGCCAGGGGAGCGAACGGG